GAGGCCUUUGUGAUAUCUAGGGAAGAUUCUAGUGAAGAUUAUUGUUACUGAAAUUAUUCCCAGGUAUGGCUGCCCUCUGCAGAUUGGCUCUGAUAAUGGCCCGGUUUUUGCCAGUGGGGUUGCCCAGGAACUUGCUAAAUUCUUGCAAGUUACCUGGCAGUUUCAUAUACCCUAUCAUCCACAGAAUACAGGGGUAGUUGAAAGGAUGAAUAGGACUAUUAAGGAAAAGCCCAGAAUUUACCCAGGAACAUGGGUAAAUUGGACUAGAU